AAUAGAUACCCAGGUAGUCCACGCCGUAAACGAUGAGUGCUAAGUGUUAGGGGGUUUCCGCCCCUUAGUGCUGCAGCUAACGCAUUAAGCACUCCGCCUGGGGAGUACGGUCGCAAGACUGAAACUCAAAGGAAUUGACGGGGGCCCGCACAAGCGGUGGAGCAUGUGGUUUAAUUCGAAGCAACGCGAAGAACCUUACCAGGUCUUGACAUCCCAUUGACCACUAUGGAGACAUAGUUUUCCCUUCGGGGACAACGGUGACAGGUGGUGCAUGGUUGUCGUCAGCUCGUGUCGUGAGAUGUUGGGUUAAGUCCCGCAACGAGCGCAACCCUUGUUCUUAGUUGCCAUCAUUUAGUUGGGCACUCUAAGGAGACUGCCGGUGACAAACCGGAGGAAGGUGGGGAUGACGUCAAAUCAUCAUGCCCCUUAUGACCUGGGCUACACACGUGCUACAAUGGACGGUACAAACGGUUACCAACCCGCGAGGGGAGCUAAUCCGAUAAAACCGUUCUCAGUUCGGAUUGUAGGCUGCAACUCGCCUACA
rnacentral:rRNA from 1 species